ensembl:lncRNA
CAGGCGUGCACACGUGUGGGGAUGAUCGGCGGUGGCGGCGACGGUGGCGGAGGCAGUGGCGGCUAAAUAGAGGAGGAUUGUCGUGAACAAGAGAGUGAGAGAAAAAUGGCGUGCUGAGACGCAAGAUGGCGGGAAGUAAAAUCGCCCGCGGUAAUGUGAUGGCCGCAUUGUGACUGGAAUAGUGAGCAUUACCAACCUAACACCAGGACAAUGCCAAUCAAGAUGGCGAGAGAAAAAAAGAGGAGCUUCCAAUUAUGUCCAGCAUGUCUGAGCGCUCUCUCCCGCCUGCUUCCGGAGGGGUCCCGUGGUGCGGGCCGAGCUUGUCUGACAGGAGAGCAGCACGCUGUGGAUUAAGACACUCGACACACUCCCGUGUCUUCUGUCUCUCGGCCCCGGCGGCCCGGGCGACGUGACUAGCGUAACAGCCCCGGAUCUCUCAAUCCAACUAUCAGACAUAAUUGUCAGCGAGUGUGGAGGGGGAUCACAGAGGCGCUGAGAGGAGUGGGAAAGCAACAGUGGCCUUCAAAGUAGCUAAUGAAGGGCG